UUGGAGAACCCUCUUCUGCCUGGCCGGAGACAGCCGGGCUGGAGCAACUGUCAACACCUGGUUCAGGCACAGUCUGAACGCCGCCGAACCGCCUCUGCACCCCCUGGGGCGGUCUCGGGAGGCGAACCUACCGACGCCCGCCCCGCGCCUGUUGAGGCGAGGUCUUCGGGACCGGUCGUGCAGGGCCCUGCCUCAUCUAAGGAGGCUGCACCGGAGAGCUCCCGGGUACCUUAACUUUGGACAUAACUUUUUGCCUUCCUUUUUAACGGUAGUCCAAGGAACGCUCCCCCCAACCCUGUUAUUGAGAGGAAGAGUAAAAUGGGAGUGACUAAAAGACAGUAACAAUACAAAAAUAAGCCUUCCGUUUAGACACUUACAUUGCCAAAGAUUGCUGAUGAGGAUUUUAGGUUAAAAUCCUCAUUUGUUCUAAGAAGACUGGAUUGAGAGCAACCUCAAACAUAAAUAAGGUUCCUUCAUUUUGUGAAAAGGAAAGGGUGUUGCAGGAAAGAGAGUGGGGCACGAGAGGAUGGCCAUGUCCCAGGUCUCAGGUGAGUCCCGAGAUGGCCACCAAGUGUGGGUUCUUGGCUUCGUGCAAGAAAGAAUUCAAGAAUGAGCCACAGUAAAGAGAAAGAAGAUUCAUUCAGGGAGAAACACACUCCACAGACAGAAUGUGGGCCAUCUCGGAAGUAUGAGUAUUCGCACCAUGGCCAACUUCAAGCUACCAACCUGAAAUCGCAGAACGUACAGUUGUGGAGAGAUGUGCACAAUCAGCUCUCAAGAGCCUGGGUAAGCCAGCUCCAGCACCCACUGGCUGUUCCUCAGAGAAAAAAUAAAUAUUAAUUUAUUUUCU